rnacentral:rRNA from 1 species
GAUAAACGCUGGCGGCGUGCCUAACACAUGCAAGUCGAACGAUCCCGCAGGGGAGAGUGGCGGAAGGGUGAGUAACACGUGGGAAUCUACCUCCUCGCAGGGAACAACCUCUCGAAAGAGAGGCUAAUACCCAAAAGGGUCAGAAAUGAUCAGAGUCGAAAGGCGUGAGGAGAGGAGCCCGCGGCCCAUCAGCUAGUUGGUGAGGUAAUGGCUUACCAAGGCUACGACGGGUAGGGGAUCUGAGAGGAUGUCCCCCACACUGGAACUGAAACACGGUCCAGACGCCUACGGGUGGCAGCAGUGAGGAAUAUUGGACAAUGGGCGAAAGCCCGAUCCAGCAACGCCGCGUGGAGGAUGAAGGCCUUCGGGUCGUAAACUUCUUUAGAGGGAGACGAGAAAGGACGGUAUCCUAGAAUAAGCGACGGCAAACUAACGUGCCAGCAGCCGCGGUAAU